CGGGGCCAUCGCUUAGGCGGAGCAACGCGUACGCCUAGACACGAUUAAUGCGUAGAAAGCGGCGAGGAGGCGGUGCAAGGCAGGGCAAGGCGCGGCCCGAUAUGGAGCUCGCGCCUUUGAAAGCACGGACGUGAAGGUGCGAGAAUAUUGGGGAAGAUGGCGAGAAGAUUGCGGGGAGUUUGCUGGCGAGAGGAAAGGAGAUACUGUAUUUGGCUAGGUUUUGGAUAUAUAUAAACACAAAAGGGCGGCGGCGGCCUGAGCUAUUCCAUCGUCGCUUCAUCCUCCGGCCACUGGAAGCUCAUACGACAAGUUAAUGAGGGCUGGUCAUAUCUAGUGACUGAAGAAGUCAAAGAGGACUGCUACCUACAGGCAACUGUUCUAAAGGAUGUUGGAGACAAAUACAACAUCAGUGUUGCUGGAAGAGAAUGCCCGUAAGAGAAAGUCGGAUGAUGUGGGAUGGGAGUAUGGGAGUCUAGCCGAUGUUUCCAAGAAGGACAAAGUGAAGUGUUUGUUUUGUAACCAUGUGAUCAUUGGAGGUGUUUAUCAUCACAAGCAGCAUGUGGCUCAUGUUGGUAAUUUUGUGGCUAAAUGCAAGAAAAGCUCACAGGAAGCUAAAGAUAGGUGCAAGAAAUCUCUUGAGGAGGCAUCUAAGAAGAGGAGGGAAAAGACUUCCCGUGAGCUAGAGCUCAGAGAACACGUGAAUAUUUCUCGUGUUGCAGAUGCUUAAGUUACUUGAGCUCAUAAUUUAUAAUGCUAUAUGCCAUAUUGGGUCUUGCGUGAUGUUUGCCUCAACUAUAUUUGAAUAUUUGAUGUUCCUAUGUUACUGCUACUUCCCUUGGGUAGAUCAUUUUUAGUUCUCCA